rnacentral:lncRNA from 10 species
GUGUUGAUCUUGAGAAUUAUUGCUGUACAUCACAAAAAGACCAUGUCAACGUGUCUCUUCCAGGGAGUUGUCAUUUAAGAAAGGAGAUACUGUCUACAUCCUCAGGAAAAUUGAUCAAAAUUGGUAUGAGGGAGAACACCACGGGAGAGUGGGCAUCUUCCCGAUCUCAUACGUAGAGAAACUCACACCUCCUGAGAAAGCACAGCCUGCAAGACCACCUCCGCCAGCCCAGCCCGGAGAAAUCGGAGAAGCUAUAGCCAAAUACAACUUCAACGCAGACACAAAUGUGGAGCUGUCACUGAGAAAGGUAGCCCAGCUGGUUUUUUGUUUGUUUGUUUUUGUUUGUUUGUUCUUCAGUGGGUUUGAAAAGGCUGUAUAUUUUCAAAACUAAAAUAGGUUAUCUUUUUCUUUAGACAUUUUUAUGUUUACCCUAUUUUCUACAAAGGACUCUUUAAGGCAGCCCAGAGUCACGGUUCCCUGCUGGUCCCUGUGUCCUUUUAGAGGAGUUCCCC